rnacentral:rRNA from 1 species
GACGAACGCUGGCGGCGUGCUUAACACAUGCAAGUCGAACGAAGUGGCGAACGGGUGAGUAACGCGUAAUCAACCUGCCCUUCAGGGGGGGACAACAGUUGGAAACGACUGCUAAUACCGCAUACUGAAGGAGGGGAUUGCGUCUGCUUAGCUAGUUGGAGGGGUAACGGCUCACCUAGGCGACGAUCCCUAGCUGGUCUGGGAGGAUGACCAGCCACACUGGAACUGAGACACGGCCCAGACUCCUACGGGAGGCAGCAGUGGGGAAUCUUCCGCAAUGGACGAAAGUCUGACGGAGCAACGCCGCGUGAGUGAUGACGGCCUUCGGGUUGUAAAGCUCUGUUAAUCGGGACGCGGUACCGGAAUAGAAAGCCACGGCUAACUCCGUGCCAGCAGCCGCGGUAAUUC